GAAAUGCGAUAAGUAAUGUGAAUUGCAGAAUUCCGUGAAUCAUCGAAUCUUUGAACGCACAUUGCGCCCUCUGGUAUUCCGGGGGCAUGCCUGUCCGAGCGUCAUUGCGAACCCCUCAAGCACGGCUUGUGUGAUGGGCCCUCCCGCGUCUUGGUCGUCAAGACGGGCCCGAAAUGCAGUGGCGGCUUCGCGGUUAUCCGAUCAGCCAGAGCGUAUGGGGACUCUCUCUCUUGUCACACGCCCGCGGCGCGGACCGACGCCUGUCGACCUUUAUUCAUCUUCUCUCGGUUGACCUCGGAUCAGGUAGGGAUACCCGCAGAACUUAAGC
rnacentral:misc_RNA from 1 species